rnacentral:rRNA from 1 species
UUCCGGUUGAUCCUGCCGGAGGCUACCGCUAUUGGAGUUCGAUUAAGCCAUGCGAGUCGCGAGAAUUAGAUUCUCGGCGUACCGCUCAGUAACACGUGGGUAACCUGCCCUAUGCUGGAUAAUAACCUCGGGAAACUGAGAAUAAUGAUCUAUAGUUCACUACGCCUGGAACGGUGAGUGGAUGAAAGCUCCGGCGGCAUAGGAUGGGCCUGCGGCGUAUCAGGUUGUAGGGGGUGUAAUGUACCCUCUAGCCCUCUACGCGUACGGGUGUUGAGAGACAUCGCCCGGAGAUGGAUUCUGAGACACGAAUCCAGACCCUACGGGGUGCAGCAGGCGCGAAAACUUGGCAAUGCGAGAAAUCGUGACCAGGGAACUCCAAGUGCAUGGGGUAAGACCUAUGCUUUUCUAGACUCUAAAAAGGUCUUGGAAUAAGAGGUGGGUAAGGACGGUGCCAGCCGCCGCGGUAAUACCGGCGCCUCAAGUGGUAGUCGCUUUUAUUGGGCCUAAAACGUCCGUAGCCGGUCUGAUACAUUCGUGGGUAAAUCAACCAGCUUAACUGGUUGAAUUCUGCGAGGACGGUCAGACUUGGGACCGGGAGAGGUGUGGGGUACGCUCAGGGUAGGGGUAAAAUCCUGUCAUCCUGAGCGGACCACCUGUUGCGAAGGCGCCACACUAGAACGGAUCCGACGGUCAGGGACGAAGCCUAGGGGCACGAACCGGAUUAGAUACCCGGGUAGUCCUAGGUGUAAACGCUGUGGACUUGAUGUUGGGGGUGCUCCGAGCACUCUCAGUGUCGAAGCGAAGGUGAUAAGUCCACUGCCUGGGAAGUACGGUCGCAAGGCUGAAACUUAAAGGAAUUGGCGGGGGAGCACCGCAACCUGAGGAUUGUGCGGUUUAAUUGGAGUCAACGCCGGA